rnacentral:rRNA from 1 species
CCUACGGGAGGCAGCAGUGGGGAAUAUUGGACAAUGGGCGAAAGCCUGAUCCAGCCAUGCCGCGUGUGUGAAGAAGGCCUUCGGGUUGUAAAGCACUUUCAGUGGGGAAGAAAGCCUUGGGGCUAAUACCCUCGAGGAAGGACAUCACCCACAGAAGAAGCACCGGCUAACUCCGUGCCAGCAGCCGCGGUAAUACGGAGGGUGCGAGCGUUAAUCGGAAUUACUGGGCGUAAAGCGCGCGUAGGCGGUCUGAUAAGCCGGUUGUGAAAGCCCCGGGCUCAACCUGGGAACGGCAUCCGGAACUGUCAGGCUAGAGUGCAGGAGAGGAAGGUAGAAUUCCCGGUGUAGCGGUGAAAUGCGUAGAGAUCGGGAGGAAUACCAGUGGCGAAGGCGGCCUUCUGGACUGACACUGACGCUGAGGUGCGAAAGCGUGCGUAGCAAACAGGAUUAGAUACCCUUGUAGUC